rnacentral:rRNA from 1 species
GUAGGUGGCAAGCGUUAUCCGGAAUUAUUGGGCGUAAAGCGCGCGCAGGCGGUUUCUUAAGUCUGAUGUGAAAGCCCACGGCUCAACCGUGGAGGGUCAUUGGAAACUGGGGAACUUGAGUGCAGAAGAGAAAAGCGGAAUUCCACGUGUAGCGGUGAAAUGCGUAGAGAUGUGGAGGAACACCAGUGGCGAAGGCGGCUUUUUAGGUCUGUAACUGACGCUGAGGCGCGAAAGCGUGGGGAGCAAACAGGGAUUAGAUACCCUGGUAGUCCACGCCGUAAACGAUGAGUGCUAAGUGUUAGAGGGUUUCCGCCCCUUUAGUGCUGCAGCUAACGCAUUAAGCACUCCGCCUGGGAUACGGUCGCAAGACUG